rnacentral:rRNA from 1 species
UAACCAGUGAUUCCCCCAGUAAUGACGAGUGAAGAGGGAAGAGCCCAGCGCCGAAUCGCCGCCAGCCCCGGCGGGUGAGCGAAAUGUGACGUAUGGAAGACCGCGUCCUCAACGUCGACCGGGGGGUGGGCCCAAGUCCUUCUGAUUGAAGCUCCCGCAGACGGUGUGAGGCCGGUGGCGACCCCCGUCGCGCCAGGGUCAGGUCUUCUCUGAGUCGGGUUGUUUGCGAAUGCAGCCCAAAGCGGGUGGUAAACUCUAUCUAAGGCUAAAUACGGGCACGAGACCCAUAGCCAACAAGUACCAUGAGGGAAAGUUGAAAAGAACUUUGAAGAGAGAGUUCAAGAGGGCGUGAAACCGUCAAGAGGUAAACGGAUGGGGUCUGCACAGUCCACCCGGAGGGUUCAACCCAUCGGGGUGCCGAGGGCCGGAAAGCUCACUCAGGGGUCGGCGGCGGCGGCGGAUGGGCCCGGUGUUUCGUCUGCAUGGCCCGGGGGUUUCAGGAAGGUGGCUCGGCGACCCCCACUGAGCGUUACAUCCCCCCCUGCCGCAAUCGACUGCUCGCCGGGCCGAGGGAGAAGACUACCGCCGCGCCCGCCC